rnacentral:sRNA from 1 species
CAAUAGCCCCGAUUGAGCGGAGUGUUUAAGCUCUUUUCAAGUUUCGGCGGCGGCUUUGCCGCCGCCGAAACUUGAAAAAGCGAGUAGCGAAAGCGGGAAAAAGC